GCGGGGUCACCUGUCUAAGCCUCAAGCCAGUCGGGCUCAGGGCCAUUUUCCCACGGAGUAAGAACCAGAACGCCAGCUGCCCCAGCGGCGCUCGCACCAUCCACCCUUGAAAUUGCCGUAGAAGAUUUGUUCCCUCAUGGCCUCAAGGUGGCUGCCGCAGUGCUAGACUAAAUCCUCACUUACAAAGCCUCAAGCUUAGAAGACAGAACAUCCCUUCCUUGUGACUCUUUUUGAAAGUGAAGAAGAAUCUGUUAGAACCUCCUGAAAAGACUUACUCUCAUGUCUCAUUAGUCUGAAUUCUGUCACAGGACAAGUCCUAAACCAAACAUUGCAAAGGAAAUGGCAGAGGGGAUUAGCUCUUCUGAAGCUAAAGAUCUGUUUGCAGUCAGAAAACAGAGACAGAAACUGAAAACCAUGGUUUCAGGCUGCUAAAAACCUAACAUGAAACAAAACAGAAGAACAACAACAACAAAAUAAGGAAGAGUGACCUAUGGGAUCCAUGGAGGAGCUGCUUCCUGAAUCUGUGUAAAGUAGAUCUUGCCGUGUGGGUAACUGUGACUGCGGUGGCCAUGAAGAGGCACAACUCAGACCUCGGAUCUCCUGCUGCAGAGAACAUUGACUGACAGCCCAGCAGCUCCUGUCUGGAUCUACCACCUGUUCACAGUGAGGCCAACAUCCCCCAGGCUGCUCCCAGCCCAGGGCUGAGCAUGGCAUGGUCCUAAUGCUCUUAAAGACCUCUAGAUCUCUCUAGAGAUGUAGGACUCUUCCAACAGGCAACUUUGGCUCAGGGCUCCCCAUCAGCUGGCCUAACCUUUCUAGGAACUGUGCUGUGGCUAACGGUCUCCCAGCCCAUCCCUGCCCUUUUCUCUCUCCUUCACAGGGGCCAGACCUGCAUUUCCACCUGCAGGAUCUCCUUGCCUGCUCCUGCUCCCUCCCCUUUCCUUAACAUGGGCUCCCCAGUAAAUCAUUUACAUGUUUAAUCCUGACUCUGCAUCUGCUUCUCCAAGGACCCAAACUAACUCAUGUACAGUAGAAAAUGAUUGACUUUUGACUUGGUCCUGGAUUCAUAUCUUGUCUCUGUCGCUUAUUAACAACAUAAACUUCCAUCACUCAACCCCUCCUUAUUUUCCUCAUCAAUUAAAAUAUUUCUUACUCCUAAAGUUAUGGUGAAUAUUGGAAGAGUUAAUUUUUGAAGAGCACCUGUGAUGUGCCUCCUAGAACAGGGACAGUUUGUUCCUUUCUCAUCAUUAUCCUUUAGCAGUGAUGGAAUGGGACUCUAUGCUGGUGAGUUUUGAUAAGAGAUUGCAAGGAAGUGAGAGAGGAAGAAUAUCAGCUGCAGCACAUGACAAGUCUGCCUCCUGGGUCAGGUUCCCCUGACAGCGUUGGUGCCUGGGGCAUAAAGAUGCUGGGUGCCAGGGAAGGGAAGGAUGGGGCACUGGAGGGAGACCAAAUUCAAUCAUUUUAAGUCCAGUCCCCAGUUCUGUGCAAUUCUUAGUGUAAAGUUUUUAAAAAGAACAUUAAAGACAGUUACAAAGCCGAGAAAUGGUCCUGUCUCUCUGAGCAGCGCUGGCCAUGCUUAACCCACCACCCCCGUCACCCGCACCCACCCCUGUCUCAGGGCCCUUCAGUGUCACACACAAAGGGGCCUCACCUCUGAUUCACAUUCUGAGGAGAGCAAGUUCAUGGAUCAAAGAACAUGACUAAUGGCCGUGGAACUUUCUGAAGAGCCCGGAACAUUUAAUUAUUAUGAACAAUUUAGUUCACUUCAAGUGGUUUACCUAAGCUCCAC
rnacentral:lncRNA from 1 species